rnacentral:tRNA from 1 species
GGCCCAGUAGCUCAGCGGGUUAGAGCAGCGGACUCAUAAUCCGUCGGUCGCGGGUUCAAGCCCCGCCUGGGCCACCA